GCCCUUAGAGUUUGAUCCUGGCUCAGGACGAACGCUGGCGGCGUGCUUAACACAUGCAAGUCGAACGGGGUGUUUAUUUCGGUAAACACCAAGUGGCGAACGGGUGAGUAACGCGUAAGCAAUCUACCUUCAAGAUGGGGACAACACUUCGAAAGGGGUGCUAAUACCGAAUGAAUGUAAGAGUAUCGCAUGAGACACUUACUAAAGGAGGCCUCUGAAAAUGCUUCCGCUUGAAGAUGAGCUUGCGUCUGAUUAGCUAGUUGGUGAGGGUAAAGGCCCACCAAGGCGACGAUCAGUAGCCGGUCUGAGAGGAUGAACGGCCACAUUGGGACUGAGACACGGCCCAGACUCCUACGGGAGGCAGCAGUGGGGAAUCUUCCGCAAUGGGCGAAAGCCUGACGGAGCAACGCCGCGUGAACGAUGAAGGUCUUAGGAUCGUAAAGUUCUGUUGUUAGGGACGAAGGGUAAGAAUCAUAAUAAGGUUUUUAUUUGACGGUACCUAACGAGGAAGCCACGGCUAACUACGUGCCAGCAGCCGCGGUAAUACGUAGGCGGCAAGCGUUGUCCGGAAUUAUUGGGCGUAAAGGGAGCGCAGGCGGGAAACUAAGCGGAUCUUAAAAGUGCGGGGCUCAACCCCGUGAUGGGGUCCGAACUGGUUUUCUUGAGUGCAGGAGAGGAAAGCGGAAUUCCCAGUGUAGCGGUGAAAUGCGUAGAUAUUGGGAAGAACACCAGUGGCGAAGGCGGCUUUCUGGACUGUAACUGACGCUGAGGCUCGAAAGCUAGGGUAGCGAACGGGAUUAGAUACCCCGGUAGUCCUAGCCGUAAACGAUGGAUACUAGGUGUGGGAGGUAUCGACUCCUUCCGUGCCGGAGUUAACGCAAUAAGUAUCCCGCCUGGGGAGUACGGCCGCAAGGUUGAAACUCAAAUGAAUUGACGG
rnacentral:rRNA from 1 species